rnacentral:lncRNA from 1 species
UCAGAUAUUAAUAAUUUGUAAGAUGAUUUAUCUUAAUAUACAUAUACAUAUACUUACUAAACAUAAUAUCAUAACGUAACAUAUUAUCAUAACGUAGUGGAUUACAUGUCAGAGAUCAGAUGACACCCGAAGGUGACCAGAUGACACCCAAAGGUGACCAGAUGACACCCGAAGGUGACCAGAUGACACCCGUCGGUGACCACUGUGGGAUGAUCAAUCGCCACAGGCUGAUGCCUC